GUGAGGAAUAUUGCGCAAUGGAGGCAACUCUGACGCAGCCAUGCCGCGUGCAGGAAGAAGGCGCUACGCGUUGUAAACUGCUUUUAACCGGGAAGAAACCCCAGGACGUGUCCUGGGUUGACGGUACCGGAGGAAUAAGCACCGGCUAACUUCGUGCCAGCAGCAGCGGUAAUACGAAGGGUGCAAGCGUUAUCCGGAUUCAUUGGGUUUAAAGGGUGCGUAGGCGGAGCGUUAAGUCAGUGGUGAAAUCCUGCAGCUUAACUGUAGACUUGCCAUUGAUACUGGCGCUCUUGAGUGCGCUUGAAGUGGGCGGAAUGUGCCGUGUAGCGGUGAAAUGCUUAGGUAUGGCACAGAACACCAAUUGCGAAGGCAGCUCACUAAGGCGAUACUGACGCUGAGGCACGAAAGCGUGGGGAUCGAACAGGAUUAGAAACCCCAGUAGUCC
rnacentral:rRNA from 1 species